GGAAAGAGGGAGGAAGGAAGGGCGGCGCUGUGGGCUGCACCGCCCGAAAAGGGGGGGAACUCUUAUUCGACUGCAUGGAUGAACACAGCAGCAGUUUGAUAUUACAGUCUAAUGCAAGAUGAAGUGUCACAGUUCAGUGGAGAUCAAGCCAUGAAGAUUUGAGAAAAAGAGGAUGAAAAGCUACAUUUUGGCUGUUUGACUCUAACGCCAAACCAGUCAUUACGUAGAUCUCCAGCUGUCAACCUGCACCCCUGCUCUCUGAACUUCAGCAGUGAGCAUCGCUGGCAUCUUACCAAAUCCAACGUUGUAAGGUUUUCUCAAAACUGUCCAUGUAUU